GGUCAGAGCGGGUGUGGGGUGUCAGACCAAGCUUUUGCUUUUCAAACCUGCAGUAAACUCAUUCAGGUCUUCAGACAGCUGUUGAUUGGCCUCAGUGCUGGUUUCACUCCAUCCCUGCACCAUUUCUUUGUUGCCCCAUGCCAAGGUCUAUAGAAUGUUGGGAGGGUGGGGGGAGCGCAGUCUCGAGGGUACCGCCGGCCUGCGAGGGCCGAUGGGUGUAUGUGACGAGUGGGGCGGGGCCGAGAGCCGUGGAGUGAUUAGAGAUGAGCGACACCUGCUCGACCCACCGGUCUCGAGUCCCACGGAGGAGAUGGAGGGAUAUAAAACCAGAGCGA